AGUCGUAACAAGGUUUCCGUAGGUGAACCUGCGGAAGGAUCAUUACUAAAUCCACGAUGAUAACGCUGUUGAACCGUUGUGCGCGGGGUGCGCGGAGGGAAUUGCGAGAUUGCGAGAUUGCGAGAUUGCGAGAUUGCGAGAUUUCCGACGCGCACCGACACGCCACACACACGCUGAUGUACGAAUGGACAGUGAUUUUAUUAUUAUAUCAUAAAAAGCACAACUUUUAACAAUGGAUCUCUUGGCUCUU
rnacentral:misc_RNA from 1 species